ACCUCUCAUCUCACAAGCUAGCUAGUUGCUGUAGCUGCCAUGGCCAGGGAUCUCGCCUUCGUCCUCCUCGUCCUUGCCGCGCUAGCCGCCUUCUCGUCAGCGACCAAGCUGACCAUCCACAACCUCUGCCCGCACCCGGUCUGGCCGCUCGUCACCCCCAACGCCGGCCUUCCGUCCAUCUCCGAAAACACCGCGCGCCUCGACACCAACGCGAUUCUCUCCCUCACCUUCCCACCCACCUUCUGGGCCGGCCGCGUCGCGGCCCGCACCGGCUGCAACGACGGCACGUCGCCGCCGCGCGGGUGCUUCACGGGCGACGCGCCGCCGUCCACCGUCGCGCAGAUCACGGUCCACGACAGCGGGAACCUGGACCUCGCCGCGUACAGCGUCAGCCUCGUAGACGGGUUCAACGUGCCGAUGGUGUUGAGCCCGCAGGCCAUCGGCGGCGGGCAGUGCCCGGCGCUCGGCUGCGUCGUGGACCUCAACUGCGACUGCUCUCCGGACAACCGCGCCGCCGAAGGCACCGCGUGCCGCGGGCCCGCGGGGUACUUCAAGAACCGUUGCCCGCUCACCAGGACCACGCCGACAGACGUGGAGCCCGUGCCGCAGAGCUGCCGCGCGCCCGGGGAGCUUAAGAUCGUCCUCUGUCAAUCGUCCACAGGGGCGGAGCUAGCCUAAUGCAAGGAAAUCCUGGCUCCGCCACUGGUCGUCCAUGCUCCAGUGCGGCGCCGCGGCGGCGGAGGACGCCGACAUGGUCAUCCGCACCGUCGUCGCCGACAACUAGAGCCCGGAGCUCCGUGUUGUCCUCGCUUUGCCGUACUUCUACGCCAUGCGCGAUCCGUGCGGUCGAUUCUCUACAACAAUAUGCUAGCGGUAGAAAAUGAAGUGGAGUCGAAGAAAGAAGCCUCGGCAUUGGAGAAUAGUUUCAGUAACGGCCGGCGGUCCGGCUCGAAAAAUCGGGAACCGGUACCUUGUCCGGUGUUUUUAAGGUGUAUAGGUCUUUUGGUGAAAAAAAUCAAGAAAAUAUUUUAAAAAUGAUGUAAAAACUCAAACAACUAACCUUGAGGCAAGGCAUGCCAAGGUUAGAACACUUUGUGAUUUAUUAUUGGGUUACGUUUGAUAUAAUGUGCAUUCAUUUGAUUUUUGGUCAAAAUUUUGAAAAAGUACCUUAAAUCUUUUGAUAUAUUUUUUCACAAUUGUGCCAAUGCAUAGGUGAUCUGACCAAUCAAAACGUGAACAGACAACCUCAUAAGUUCAGUUGCCGGUUUGCUUUUCUCAACUUUGUAAUAGAGGAGCCCUGAAAUGAGAUAUUGCUGGAGACUGGGGUUAGAGAUCUAGGUUCGGGGUGAUAAGGGUCAC